rnacentral:miRNA from 1 species
AAUAACAGAAAGAAGCUAAGCUGCACUUUUUUUUUUUUUUUGAAAAAGUGCAGCUUAGCUUCUUUCUGUUAUU